rnacentral:rRNA from 1 species
UACGUAGGCGGCCAUAUAAGUCAGAAGUGAAAGGCUACGGCUUAAUCGUAGUAAGCUUUUGAAACUGUAUGGCUUGAGUGCAGGAGAGGAAAGCGGAAUUCCUAGUGUAGCGGUGAAAUGCGUAGAUAUUAGGAAGAACACCAGUAGCGAAGGCGGCUUUCUGGACUGAAACUGACGCUGAGGUACGAAAGCGUGGGGAGCGAACAGGAUUAGAUACCCUGGUAGUCC